GAUGAACGCUGGCGGCGUGCCUAAUACAUGCAAGUCGAGCGAACGGACGAGAAGCUUGCUUCUCUGAUUUUAGCGGCGGACGGGUGAGUAACACGUGGAUAACCUACCUAUAAGACUGGGAUAACUUCGGGAAACCGGAGCUAAUACCGGAUAAUAUUUUGAACCGCAUGGUUCAAAAGUGAAAGACGGUCUUGCUGUCACUUAUAGAUGGAUCCGCGCUGCAUUAGCUAGUUGGUAAGGUAACGGCUUACCAAGGCAACGAUGCAUAGCCGACCUGAGAGGGUGAUCGGCCCCACUUGGACUGAGACACGGUACAGACUCCUACGGGAGGCAGCAGUAGGGAAUCUUCCGCAAUGGGCGAAAGCCUGACGGAGCAACGCCGCGUGAGUGAUGAAGGUCUUCGGAUCGUAAAACUCUGUUAUUAGGGAAGAACAUAUGUGUAAGUAACUGUGCACAUCUUGACGGUACCUAAUCAGAAAGCCACGGCUAACUACGUG
rnacentral:rRNA from 1 species